GAUGAAGAACGUAGUGAAAUGCGAUAACUAAUGUGAAUUGCAGAAUUCAGUGAAUCAUCGAGUCUUUGAACGCACAUUGCGCCCUUUGGUAUUCCUUAGGGCAUGCCUGUUCGAGCGUCAUUUAAACCUUCAAGCUAAGCUUGGUGUUGGGUGACUGUCCGCUUCACGGCGGACUCGCCUCAAAAUUAUUGGCGGCCGGUACAUUGGCUUCGAGCGCAGCAGAAACGCGAACUCGGGCCCGUCGUAUUGGCUCCCAGAAGCUAUCUUCACAAUUUUGACCUCGGAUCAGGUAGGGAUACCCGCUGAACUUAAGCAUAUCAAUAAGCGGAGGA
rnacentral:misc_RNA from 1 species